UACGUAGGGUGCAAGCGUUGUCCGGAAUUAUUGGGCGUAAAGAGCUCGUAGGCGGUUUGUCGCGUCUGCUGUGAAAACUCGGGGCUUAACCCCAGGCCUGCAGUGGGUACGGGCAGACUAGAGUGCGGUAGGGGAGACUGGAAUUCCUGGUGUAGCGGUGAAAUGCGCAGAUAUCAGGAGGAACACCGGUGGCGAAGGCGGGACUCUGGGCCGAUACUGACGCUGAGGAGCGAAAGCUAGGGGAGCAAACAGG
rnacentral:rRNA from 1 species